rnacentral:rRNA from 1 species
GACGAACGCUGGCGGCGUGCUUAACACAUGCAAGUCGAACGGUGAAGGGAUCAGCUUGCUGGUUCUGGAUGAGUGGCGAACGGGUGAGUAACACGUGAGUAACCUGCCCCCUUCUUCUGGAUAACCGCAUGAAAGUGUGGCUAAUACGGGAUAUUCUGCGCCUGCUGCAUGGUGGGUGUGGGAAAGAUAUUGUUUCGGUGGGGGAUGGGCUCGCGGCCUAUCAGCUUGUUGGUGGGGUGAUGGCCUACCAAGGCGGUGACGGGUAGCCGGUCUGAGAGGGUGGACGGUCACACUGGGACUGAGACACGGCCCAGACUCCUACGGGAGGCAGCAGUGGGGAAUAUUGCACAAUGGGCGCAAGCCUGAUGCAGCGACGCCGCGUGAGGGAGGGAGGCCUUCGGGUUGUGAACCUCUUUCGCCAGUGAAGCAGGCCUGUCCCUUGUGGGUGGGUUGACGGUAGCUGGAUAAGAAGCGCCGGCUAACUACGUG